AGAUAAUGCUUCAGUCUCGCCUAUACUUGGCUUAUGCAAUGCUUUCCCUCUUGCUAGGCACUUGUCGUCUCCCGGCUGGGCUCUGCUGCGAACGCCGUUUUGCCAAUUCCGGAGGUGUGUGCGGAAGUUUUGCGGCUAAGGAAUUAGGUUAGAUAAGUUACAGGUAGAAUUCCUGUACAUGGCUUCUUUGGGAGCCAUAUCUAGAAUCCAUGCGCAGUAACUCUAAUUACAUCCAGCUUCUUCAUUUUUUAUUGCAUCUGAGGUAACCAAACGGAUAUUUAUUAUGACGCCACUGCCCCUGAGUGUGAUUUUCACGUGCCUGGUUUCACGAAUCGCGGCAUGUGAUCAGGAAGUACCACGUAUUUGUGAGGAGGGCCAACUAGUUCCGCAAGCAUAUUGCGAUGGUGCUGAAAGGGAUACCAUAUGGACGUGUAAACGCGGAAGUAGUGGACGGUGUGCGUGUCCUGAUGGCCUAAUGAGAUCAAUAAGCAGAAAGUGCGUAAAAGAGGCUCAAUGUGAAGCUAACAAGGCAAAAGCUUCAAGUUCGUCACGAAAGAAGCCGCUGAAGUACACAUACGAAGUACCCGAGGAACUAACAGAUAGAGGAGAAGCCUUGCGUAAGGUUUUAGAG